GACCUAUUACCUCAGUUGGUUAGAGCGUUGUGAUAAUAACGCGAACGUCGCAAGUUCGAGACCUGCAUAGGCCA
rfam:Picea glauca, whole genome shotgun sequence.